AGGAAAUCUAUCUUUAUCCUAUUACAAACUAGCUUUUAUUUUUUCUGUUUAUAUUUUGGUCUAGAAACUCCUUGAAGUUUCUGAAUCCACCAUCAACAUUCUUUUAAGAAUCAACUUUUUUGAAGUUGAACCCAACCAAAAUAGCAUAUACUCAAAUAUAUGUUUUUGAUGAGUUUUGACAAAAGCACACACCCAUUUGACCUCCACCAUGAUCAAGAUUCAAGAUACUUUCUUCACCUCUCAUGCUAAUAUCAGUCAGUUCUUCCCAGCCCUGGCAUCAGCAAGUACUGAUCUGCUGUCACUAAGUGUCAGCUGCACUUUUAGUUCUGCGCCAGUGUCUCCAGAAUGGAAGGAAUGACUGACUGAAAACUGGUGUUGAGAAGUUUAUCUCAUGAAAUCACUGUGAUACUGCUUACCUGGACACUUUUACUUGCUUCCAGACAGGUAAUAUUUAUGUCAGCAGGAAUGGUGCCCUCCCAUUAUCCUUGUUCUUGCUGGAUUUUUAAGUGUCCUAUUCUUACCUUUUCUUGGAACUCAGAAUUCUUUUACUAUACCUUCUAAAUUAUGAUAUAUUUUUGUUUUCUAAAGGUACAUGCAUUUUCAAGCCCUUGCUGAAUGAGUAAUGCAGAAAACAAUUUGAUAACGGAUUUGUCAGUUUUUAUAAGGAAUUUUGAGAUUCUACAGUGUCAGGAAAACUGGCAUGCAUAUGCUACAGAUAAUUAAAGUCAUGCUUCAGAACAGUAUUCAGUGUCAAGGGACAAUAUGCUUAAUACAUAGUUAAAUGGGGUAAAAUAAAACAGUACGCAGGUCCAUCUUAUACAUAUAAAAUUUAGCAGGCCUUCCAGAUAAUUGUGAUGUUUCUUG
rnacentral:lncRNA from 1 species